rfam:Schistosoma mansoni, Puerto Rico, WGS project CABG01000000 data, contig: 0238
AUCUAGCUGACGAGUCCCAAACUGAACGAAACGCGUGUCCUGGAU